rnacentral:tRNA from 1 species
UCCCUGGUGGUCUAGUGGUUAAGGAUAUGGCAUUGUCAUUGCUGUGGCUCAGGUCACUGCUGCAGCACAGGUUUAAUCCCUGGCCUGGGAA